UACAGAGGGUGCAAGCGUUGUUCGGAAUUACUGGGCGUAAAGCGCGUGUAGGCGGUCCGCCAAGUCUGAUGUGAAAGCCCUGGGCUCAACCCAGGAAGUGCGUCAGAUACUUGUGGACUGGAGUGGCGGAGAGGAUGGCGGAAUUCCCGGUGUAGAGGUGAAAUUCGUAGAUAUCGGGAGGAACACCUGUGGCGAAGGGCGGCCAUCUGGACGUCAACUGACGCUGAGACGCGAAAGCAUGGGGAG
rnacentral:rRNA from 1 species